rnacentral:rRNA from 1 species
GGCGAGUGGCGAACGGGUGAGUAAUACAUCGGAACGUACCCAGAAGUGGGGGAUAACGUAGCGAAAGUUACGCUAAUACCGCAUACGUUCUACGGAAGAAAGUGGGGGAUCUUCGGACCUCAUGCUUUUGGAGCGGCCGAUGUCUGAUUAGCUAGUUGGUGAGGUAAAGGCUCACCAAGGCGACGAUCAGUAGCUGGUCUGAGAGGACGACCAGCCACACUGGGACUGAGACACGGCCCAGACUCCUACGGGAGGCAGCAGUGGGGAAUUUUGGACAAUGGGCGCAAGCCUGAUCCAGCAAUGCCGCGUGAGUGAAGAAGGCCUUCGGGUUGUAAAGCUCUUUUGUCAGGGAAGAAACGGCUGGGGCUAAUAUCCCCGGCUAAUGACGGUACCUGAAGAAUAAGCACCGGCUAACUACGUGCCAGCAGCCGCGGUAAUACGUAGGGUGCGAGCGUUAAUCGGAAUUACUGGGCGUAAAGCGUGCGCAGGCGGUUUUGUAAGUCUGACGUGAAAUCCCCGGGCUUAACCUGGGAAUUGCGUUGGAGACUGCAAGGCUGGAGUCUGGCAGAGGGGGGUAGAAUUCCACGUGUAGCAAUGAAAUGCGUAGAGAUGUGGAGGAACACCGAUGGCGAAGGCAGCCCCCUGGGUCAAGACUGACGCUCAUGCACGAAAGCGUGGGGAGCAAACAGGAUUAGAUACCCCUGGUAGUCCACGCCCUAAACGAUGUCUACUAGUUGUCGGGUCUUAAUUGACUUGGUAACGCAGUUAACGCGUGAAGUAGACCGCCUGGGGAGUACGGUCGCAAGAUUAAAACUCAAAGGAAUUGACGGGGACCCGCACAAGCGGUGGAUGAUGUGGAUUAAUUCCAUGCAACGCGAAAAACCUUACCUACCCUUGACAUGUCAGGAACCUCCGAGAGAUUGGAGGGUGCCCGAAAGGGAGCCUGAACACAGGUGCUGCAUGGCUGUCGUCAGCUCGUGUCAUGAGAUGUUGGGUUAAGUCCCGCAACGAGCGCAACCCUUGUCAUUAGUUGCUACGAAAGGGCACUCUAAUGAGACUGCCGGUGACAAACCGGAGGAAGGUGGGGAUGACGUCAAGUCCUCAUGGCCAUUAUGGGUAGGGCUUCACACGUCAUACAAUGGUGCAUACAGAGGGCCGCCAACCCGCGAGGGGGAGCUAAUCCCAGAAAGUGCAUUGUAGUCCGGAUCGCAGUCUGCAACUCGACUGCGUGAAGUUGGAAUCGCUAGUAAUCGCGGAUCAGCAUGCCGCGGUGAAUACGUUCCCGGGUCUUGUACACACCGCCCGUCACACCUUGGGAGCGGGUUUUACCAGAAGUAGGUAGCUUAACC